AGUAAGCGACAGGAAGCGCGCGCCACUUCCUUUCUUUAUGAGGACCUCGGCCGACUGAGAAUAUUUGGGAAUAUUUACAAGUUUGACCGCUCCUUGCACAUUUCCUGGAAUUCCACUCGUUGCGUCGCGAUGAGCAACACUGGUGGAUAUUUUUACACACAUUCACACACGGAGCGGCGACAGAGGAAUGAGUCAUAUCAAGAGGGGAGGACCCUACACACAUGCAAGCUAGCGUAGGAAGUACAUUCACAUAGGCCAUGAGUCACCUUGCUCAUGAUACAACCUUUAAUGUUUAUGUUUCUUAUUUCCAUGGAAACCACAAGUCAAGGGGAAGGAGACCCCCGGCUGGCCAGCAUCAUCAGAAUAUUAUGUCCGGUUCAUGGAAACGCGUUUGUACAGUACACCCGGGAGAUGAUAAACGUCGUGAUGUUGUCUUCCGGUUCAGAAAAUGACAAGAGCACACUACGGUACAGGUACCAGGGCGCUUCAACAUGGGUACAGGAUCGAACCCUCAACCUUGGACCACGACUCGACCUUGAGCCAGGUGUGAUUUACUUCCAAAUAAAAUUGUGCCUUCAAAGAAA